AUUGAACGCUGGCGGCAGGCCUAACACAUGCAAGUCGAACGGUAACAGGAAGCAGCUUGCUGCUUCGCUGACGAGUGGCGGACGGGUGAGUAAUGUCUGGGAAACUGCCUGAUGGAGGGGGAUAACUACUGGAGACGGUAGCUAAUACCGCAUAAUGUCGCAAGACCAAGGAGGGGGACCUUCGGGCCUCUUGCCAUCGGAUGUGCCCAGAUGGGAGUAGCUUGUUGGUGGGGUAACGGCUCACCAAGGCGACGAUCCCUAGCUGGUCUGAGGGGAUGACCAGCCACACUGGAACUGAGACACGGUCCAGACUCCUACGGGAGGCAGCAGUGGGGAAUAUUGCACAAUGGGCGCAAGCCUGAUGCAGCCAUGCCGCGUGUAUGAAGGAGGCCUUCGGGUUGUAAAGUACUUUCAGCGGGGAGGAAGGGAGGAAAAUUAAUACCUUUGCUCAUUGACGUUACCCGCAGAAGAAGCACCGGCUAACUCCGUGCCAGCCGCCGCAGUAA
rnacentral:rRNA from 1 species